rnacentral:lncRNA from 1 species
AAACGUUGUGGAUGACUAAUUAAAACUAUUGCAAGUUGUUUAAUUAAAUGCUAUGUGCUGUGAGUGAUAAGAGAGGAAGAAGAAGAGAGACAAUCAAACACAAACACCAAGUUUUAUAGUGGUUCGGAGCUAACCCUUGCUCCUACGUCCACUCCCCAAGUCUCACUUGAGAAUUCACUAUAACCCCCUUGGAUUACAGCCGGUUGUUUUCCAAGCUCACAACCAAACUUGUUGUUUUACGAGCUCACAACAAACUCGGUCGGUUUUCCCAGGCUCACCGACUAGAACCACCCCGAUUGUUUUCCCGGGAUCACAAUCGAACCCUUAC